rnacentral:rRNA from 1 species
AAAUUGAAGAGUUUGAUCAUGGCUCAGAUUGAACGCUGGCGGCAGGCCUAACACAUGCAAGUCGAACGGUAACAGGAAGCAGCUUGCUGCUUUGCUGACGAGUGGCGGACGGGUGAGUAAUGUCUGGGAAACUGCCUGAUGGAGGGGGAUAACUACUGGAAACGGUGGCUAAUACCGCAUAACGUCGCAAGACCAAAGAGGGGGACCUUCGGGCCUCUUGCCAUCAGAUGUGCCCAGAUGGGAUUAGCUGGUUGGUGAGGUAAC